UUUAAUUUGGAGACGCUGAUCGUAAAUGCAAGUAAAUUUCUCUACGCCUCUACGGUGUACUUUUUUCCUGACAUUUUUGUAAAAAAAAUGAUAAGUUAGCAGUGGAACAUCUUCAAAAAAGUCGAGUGUCCUUCAAACAAUAUGGAAGAAAAAAAAGUGGUUCGAAAUGGAAGAUUUAUUCAUUCACCGAAGAAACGAGUCAAUUUACUUAAAUACCCAUCCCCGGCAACGUCAACCUACAGAAGCAGAAGGAAGAGGCCAGUUUGCAUGUCCUUCACUUUCGAAGGUCACUGAGAUCAUUACGUAAAACUGUCAAUGUUGUGGUGUAGAGGUUGGCUACGUCAACCUGCGGGAGGAAAGGCCAGUUUGUAUGUCAUUCAACCGAAGGUCACGGAGAUCAUUACAUAGAAUUGGUAAAACUUUCUUGCAGUGGUGUAGAGGUUGGGUGAGAACGACACGUGUUGCAACAUUAUCAAGUAGGUCUACAAUUGCCGCAAGCCUUGAGUUGAGAGGUAAGGGUGAGAAAAAGUCGUAUAAAAGGAGAGAGAAAAGGCCACAGUGAUCAGUCGAGUGAACGUCUACGACACGGCAACAACUGCAGCGCACCAGAUGACUUCUUCAUCUCAUUAUCAGUUCGCAAUCAUG